UUACACAAGAAAAGGCCCAAAUCGGCAGCCCAUCUCCCUAACGCCUCUCUCCCUCACCUUUUCACACCUUCUGCCACCAUAACCCAACCUAAACCUCACCAUAACCGAACCUUCAUGGUGCCCGCCCCCCUGUCUUUCCUUUUUCCACGUCAUCAAGACCAUAACAACCUCUUUCAGAACAAGAUAUUUCAUUUCUCGCCUUCCCACGCGCUCUUGCUUCCCUUGGAUGGAAUUCGGAUUAAUGGUAGACGUAGGAUUUGAAGACUUUAAAUCCUAGUCUUCCAUUUGUCUGAGAACUUUCCAGAAGAAGAAGAAGAGGGGAUUUCCGUUUGGGGGCAAACAAUCUUUCGGAUUUAAGAGGGCCACACAGUUUUGGGAUUUCUUGGAGAAGAGGAGAGGAAGUUUCUAGGGCUUCAUAUAUAUUUGUGUUUUGGACAGAAUUUUGGGAUGGGGUUUUCACGAAAAAUUAGGAAAACAUCGAAAACUAGGUUUUAGGUUUUGCUUUGGAGUCCUCCUCUUCUUCAAAAUUUUUCGGUUAGUUCAUAGUUUAAAAGAAAGGAAGCUUUGUUUCGUUUUGAUAAUCAAAAAAUAUAACAAAGGAGUGCUAUUCUGUUUUCUUAUUAGUAUUUUUUCAAAAAUAUAUCGAGGUCUCUUCUAGUAAUUUGGAUUUCAAAAAUGGAGUUAGAUUGAGCGGAGUUGGAUUCGAGUCUGUCGUCAUUGCUGUUCGUCGUAGAUUUCGGUCGAGGCUUCCUGUUUCUCUUUGGCGAUUCUAGCUGAAAUUCCCUAUUGAAGAUUCAGUAGAUUUGGCCUGAAUUAUUUGCUGUAACUGUCAAGCUUCUAUCAAUUGAAAGCUUUAUUUCUAGAGUCAUUUGCUUCUCCGAUUAUGUUUUGGUGUUGUUGGAAAUAUGACAAGAGCUGUAGAUGUUGGGCUUGGAAUCUAUGAGUAAUUUGAUAGUUCCUAAGUUCUUAACAUUGAGAGUUUAGACAAUCAUACUUGAAUGCUCGUUUCGGAUUCAGUUUGCUGGAAAGAGGUAUUCAAUAUUCUGGUUGGUUGUUUGAUAUUCUGUUUUGGGAUUAAAUUUGCUGUUGGUUUAGCUUGAUCCUUCUGAGUUUCCAAACUUUGUUUUUUUAUGUGACUCAUGAAUCAGCGAGGCAUCAUCUCAAUAGGUUAAUAGGUCGUUCUUUUUUCGUCCAUUUCAUGUUAAAGAAUUUCUUUCGAUUGCAUCUUUAAGUUUUCAUCGGGUUAGUGUCGCACAUCAUGUUAGGGGCUAAUUUCCUAGAUCUUGUUGUUCAUAUUUUGUGGCUUUGUUUUUCUCGAAGUAUUAGUUCAGUAAUCAUAUCUAGAGUUCUAAUCAUGGAAUUGACAAUCGUAACAUUUUAAAUACCAUUAGAAUACU
rnacentral:lncRNA from 1 species